rnacentral:tRNA from 1 species
GGAGAGGUGGCUCAGCAGUAGAGCACAGACCUUGCAGGUGUGAGGCCCUGGGUGGGUUUGAUCCCCAGCCCCACUG